UUAAAUUUGCCGCCGGGUAAACGUCUUUUAUUCAUUCCGUUAGGCCUUUGAAGGAAUGAAUGUGAGGCGUUUUAUUAU
rnacentral:ncRNA from 1 species